GUUUAGUUAUCUAAAAUUUAAACACAAAUAGUCACCAGAUCUUCUUUGAAGAGUCAUAAGAAAAGCUACUUUGCUGGGUUAACUCCAGAAUGUCAAAAAACAUUAUAAGCUUACAGAAUUAGUAAAACCAUGAAGUUAAAUUUGUAAAUUAUUUUUCUAAAUGAACCAAUUCUAUAUUCUUUUCCUUUGGAAAAAAACUAGCAUUUUACCACAUCCUGAAACAAGUAUCUAUCCUCACAAAAUGGUUAUAAAUCAGUUUACUUUGGGGAUAUGUUACAAACAAACAAAUCCUGAAACCUUAAAAAUUUAAAGCUAAACUAAAUUGUAAUGAUUCCUUAAUUCAACCUCUUUAGUUCACUACGGUCUCCUCAGUAUACCAAGGCCUAAGUUAAUUCACUUGCUCAGGUUCUCAAACCUCCAAUUGCUAGUUAUUCUUGUAUUCUAAAACGUAAAAACAAAAUUAAAAGAGAAAAAAUAUCGUUUUUUCCAAGAAACUAUUUACUCUUGUGGCCACUUUAAUCACCUCAGCAUCGAACUCACUAUUUAGCCAGAGUCGGAAGGCAACAAAUACUUGAAAAAUGGCAGGUGCCGUGAUGAGAUGCAAUAAAAGGAGCAUCUUUAGUGCCAGUGUCUGGAAACGAAAGGAUGAACUGAACAUGAAAAUGAAAAUCGGCCGGACGCGGUGGCCCACGCCUGUAAUCCCAGCACUUUGGG
rnacentral:lncRNA from 1 species